rnacentral:snRNA from 1 species
GUGCUUGCUUCAGCAGCAUAUAUACUAAAAUUGGAAUGAUACAGAGAAGAUUAGCAUGGACCCUGCCCAAGGAUGACACGCAAAUUCAUGAAGCAUUCCAUAUUUUC